GAAAUCAGUUCAGCACUAAGUCACUUUGUCUAUAUGGCAAAUGUGAGAUGCAGUGUAUGGAACAUCAAUAUUCUAGUAUGAGAAAUUAACGAUUUAAGUCCUUCUUAAAUGAGGCCAUUUACCCAUAGAGGGUGCCAGGCCCGUAUAACGUUAAUGAUUAUUAGAUGGUGUUUCCAAAGAGUCGUGUUGCUUGAUAGUGCAGCACUAAGUGGGUGGUAAACUCCAUCUAAAACUAAAUAUAACCAUGAGACCGAUAGUAAACAAGUACCGUGAGGGAAAGUUGAAAAGAACUCUGAAUAGAGAGUUAAAUAGUACGUGAAACUGCUUAGAGGUUAAGCCCGAUGAACCUGAAUAUCCGUUAUGGAAAAUUCAUCAUUAGAAUUGUAAUAUUUAAACAAUAUUAUAAGGAUAGUGUGCAUUUUUUCCAUAUAAGGACAUUGUAAUCUAUUAGUAUCAAACAAUUUAUCAAAAAAUUUUAGACAAAUGCUUAUUUAAAUUAGAAUGCUUGCAUUUUAACAUAAAAUAAAUGUCAUAAAUUUGAUAAAGUGCUGAUAGAUUUAUAUGAGUACAGUGCGUUAAUUUUUCGGAAUUAUAUAAUGGCUAUGAUUAUCAUUGAUUUUUGUGUUUAUUAUAUGCACUUGUAUGAUAACAAUGCGAA
rnacentral:rRNA from 1 species